rnacentral:misc_RNA from 1 species
GAUGAAGAACGUAGCGAAAUGCGAUAAGUAAUGUGAAUUGCAGAAUUCAGUGAAUCAUCGAAUCUUUGAACGCACCUUGCGCCUUUUGGUAUUCCGAAAGGCACACCUGUUUGAGCGUCAUGAAUACCUCUAUCUCCAUCUUUUCUUCGGAUUGAUGGGUGACUUGGAUGUUGAGCCCUGCUGGUAUGCUAUAUCAGCUGGCUUUAAACUUAUUAGCCGGCUCUGUACUGGAUCGGUUUGACUCGACGUGAUAAUAUUAUCGUUGAGGAUGCAUGUCUCAUGCAGCCGGAAAGUAUCAAAGCAGCUUCUAGCUUGCCUUUAGUGCACUUUUACAUUUUAGACCUCAGAUCAGGUGGGACUACCCGCUGAACUUAAGCAUAUCAAUAAGCGGAGGA